GCACAUGCCUGUAGUCACAGCUACUUGGGAGGCUGACAUGAAAGGAUUGCAAUGAGCCAAGAUCGUGCCACUGCACUCCUGCCAGGGUUCCAAAGUGAGACUCGGUCUUGAAAAAAAAAAUUCUCAAGUAAACAACCUAUCUAUCAGAGAGUAACUGAAUUUUAAUAUAUCCAUUGACUGGCCUAGAAUUCCAUUAUUAAGAUAAUAUGAAACUAAAUUAUCGACAUGAAAAAAUGAAAUAGCAUAUAAUUUUUCUUCAAAUAUUAUAUAAUUUUAAGGAAAAUGUAGUUUACGAUGUUGUGUUUAGUAUAUACAACUUUUUAUAAAAUAUAUAGUUGUCUGUUUGCGUGCAUGUGCACAGGCAUGAAGAAGUAGAAAGAGAUACAGGUUCACAAUCCUUUUUUUCAUUUUGUAGGCCCAUCCUCUUUCAUAUUUUAGAAUGGUAUUUUGAUGUAUAUGUCAUGUAUUAUCCAUUCCAGUAGGGACUAGUGGAACACCUCAAUAUUAAACAUACCGAUACCUCUGCAGUGAAAAAUGUUGAUAUUCACACUAGGUAGAAUAAAUAAAGACUAUAAGUAAUGUUAAAUCAGUUCAGGCGUGAGUCUUUUGAAUUUUAGAAUCAGAAAGGAAGACAUGGAGAUUUACUCAACAAAAAAUUAACAAUAGUUCUCUCUAAGUAGUAAAUUAUAGGCAAUUUAACUCUAAAAUGCAACUUCUCUAUUUUCAGUCCACAAUUAUGUAAUGACUUCUUACAAUACACUAGACACUGUUUUAGAUAUUUAUUUUAGUACAAUGUUUGCAAUAAAUAAGAAUUUUUCUUAAAAUUGGGAAAAAUAUAGUCAUAAUUUUGAGAAGAGUGAAAAUUAAACUCAAAGACACAUAACAUUUUUUAAAACAAUUUGAAAUUAUUUUAAUAUAAAACAUGGAUAUCUGAACAUCAGGAGUUUGUAAUAUUUGUUGUUUUUCCCAGGAGUAAAGUAUCUUUUUGUAGGGAAACUAUUGACUUGCUAAAAAUCAAACAGGAGAGGAGUAACUGGCCCUGCAGUCAAAUGUAAGCAAUUCAUCCCUGGAGGGUCACUACAGAUUCCAGUUCAAUGACAGACUAGUUGAAAUCCAAAAGUCACUAGACCAGCAGUGCCUGAAUCUCAACUACACAGGCCUACAGGCACAUUGUCUCAGUGGAGCAGCUCCAUCUCUGGAAUAUCUGUCAUUGCACACACACACACACACACACACACACACACACACAAUCAAGGGUCCAGAAAUCUCAAAUGUUUACAUCUCAUCUGGGCUUAAAGAACUCUUUUUUUUACAAGUUACUUAAUUCUAUGUUUUGUUUUGUUUUGUUUUGUAACAUAACUGAAAAAGUUAUGUCACCUUCUUAUUGGUGUGUUAGAAACAUUUGUAUAAAUAUAAACAACAAAGUACGUAAUUUUCUCCAACAGAUAAAAAAAGCAAAAGAGUUGUUCUCUUUCCUGAUAGCCUGUUUUCCCCUUCCUUCUUUUCAAAUCACGUAAAUCAGGUUGUCACAUACAGCUUGGAAAAUAGAGUAUUCCUCUCUCUGAAGGUGUGUAAGUUUAUUCAAGUAGAGUCAGGUAAUUUAUACAAGCUAUAUACUUAAUAUAAAAAAGACAAAGUAUGAAACUCUUCCCCUAGUCUAAUUUGAUUUGAGGAUCUUGAUACCCCUUUUCUUGGAAGGACAAAAUAUCACAAAUAUAAAAUGGUGCAUCCAGUAGCAUGGGCAUAAAUAGCUCAAGCUGAAAGCAUAACAAUAUGCUCUCCUUCUAUUAUUGCAGAACCAAUAAAUAAGCAUAAUGAAAAUCAUGACACAUUAUUAUAUUAUUCUGUAUUGCUUCUGUUCAUUUAAAAAACAGAUGAGUGCAUUUAAAAUAAUUUUAUGUCAAAUGACAGUAAGCUUUUUCAUUGAGAUGAUGCUGAAAGGGAUAUUUGUAAAGAGCAGAGAUGCGUGGUCUUAUAUGGCUUAUAUCAGUGUUAUGACAGAAGUACAAGGAAUCUGACUACUAACUACUUCACACCAAGAUGGCUGUAGCCUGGUAUCCAAAACAUGUACAUUAUUCACAUGUGCUAUAUGUUUUCUGAUAUUAUGGAGUCAAUAAAAAACAAAAAGCUUUAGGAAAAGAUUCCAUGUCAGUUUGCCCUUGGAUGGAUUAUCUUUUUUCCUUUGCCUUGUUGAUUUAAUAUACUAGAUUAUAUUAACAGCACUGGCUUGUAAAUAAGUAAUAUCUGAAUCUUAUUAAUGGAGAUAUGCUGCCAAAAUAAUCAGCUUCAUACUUAACAAGUUUCCAAGUAUUUGGGAAAGCUGUGAAAUGGGAUUGCAAGGUUAAGCUGUGUACAUCUGGCUCAUCACUAUAUAAAUAUUUCAGAAAUUUGAUCUCAUAGGAUGAAGAAACACCUGUUUAAUCAUGACUCUUUUCCAAGGUACAUGAACUUCAGUAAGCAGAGCAAUACACAAAUGCUGGCAAGAAAUCUUGAUCAAUUUACAUAAUGUACUUCCUAUAUUAGACACACAGUUUUAUCAUACAUCAUCCUUCUGAGUAGAGACAUAAAAAUAUUCUAGAAAGAUUAUGUAGUAUUAUACUUAUAUUGGCAAAAUGAAUUGGGAGUGCCCAACAUUUUAAAACUUGAGAUAACCACCUGAAAUACUAAAUAGUUUCAUUGAUUUUUUUUUCCUUGUAUCAUGGUAUGUGAUUUUAGUGUAAUUGAACGUUGUAAGUAUAACUCUAAGGUAAUAUGGAUCCUGAAAAUAAUUAAUGAGAGGUAGGAAUUUGCAUAUAAAAUAACAAUAAAAACUUGAACAGUCCCUCUAGUUAACAGAAAUGUUAAUGAAUUUGAACAUUAGUUGCUUUUAACCAGAUCCAAGAUUAAAUAACUGUGUUGACUCUUUGUCAAAUAUACACUUGCCCAUUAAGCCUGCCUUUAUUUUUUCAAAUUUUGUUCCAACAAAUAAAUGGGCUUUAAAAAUGCACUGAGUAUGACUCUUAUCUAAUUAACUUCAAAUGUCCAACUUGAAAAUACAGACUUUGAGGCUGUUGUCCAAAACGGCAGUUAAAGGUCAAUGAAUAAAAUUUCCAAUUAUAUUUCCUGGGAGCAGAUGGGUGCAAUGAAACCUAAUGAUUGAAUUUUAAAUGCUUUCAUGCACCUUUUAUCUGUUUUCCAACAUGUUGAUUAUACCUUAAUGCUGUGUCAAGAUAAUAGGUUUAUUACAAUUAACCAACUGAAAAGGUAUCUCCACUUUCCAAUUAUUUAUAUUACCUGGGGAUAUUGAACCACAGCUCCUUUCCUUCCAUCACCCCUAGAGCCUUUCUAUCACCAUCCCACACUUUUAACCAAAAAAAUCCAAACCAUAAUAUCAUCAAAUAACAGAUGUCUCCUUGGCGAUUUGAUUUCUCUAGUUAAAUAAUGGGUAUUUAACAUAAAUGUCAAGUUUAAGUUCACGGAGACUCAAUGGAAAAUUUCAAAUAAAAAUAAUUUUAAGAAAUGUGUUGACUAAAUUUAACUAUAAAGUUUCUUUCCUUAUAUGAUGAACUGAUACAUUAGCUUAAUCUGACUUGCAUAGUCGUAAGUAUAGAAAGAAGGUUUACCAAGAGGUUAAAAAAAUUAACAUUCUAUUCUCCAGGAGUAGCAGAUGGAGAGUUUUAUCUCAACUACAUCUUAUUAGAGCACACUCUUGCCUGAAGAACCACAAGAGGAAAUCAUGCAGAGAAGUUUAUUUCAUUGCUUUUAUAUAAAAGAAAAUCAACAUUUUACAUCUUAAAAUAUAUACUCAAGCCUAAAUUAAAGGAAAUUGAAGAAGCCUUUUAUUUUAGCUAAUAAACAAAAGCUUCUUGUCUAUUAAAUGCAUUUUUAAAAUGAGAAACAUACUACUACUCAACCCAGUCCACCCCUGUAUAUAUGUACUAUGUAAAGUCAACUAUACAGAGCCCAGGCCCAAAUGUACAUGUGGUUAAAUAUUAAUCUGGUGAUAAAUACCACCAUGCCUUAUCAACAUAUUUAUUUGAAUAUUUUUAAAAAGUACACUAGAUGUAAAUAUAUAGGUAUUAAAGUAUCCCUGUGAUAAGCAUAUUUUCUUCUGAUGUCACAGAAAAGAGACCAGAGGCAAGGAUAAAAAUAAUAUAAUUAGAAUAGGUCAGCAUAAGACAUAAAUAAUAAUUUAUUUCCUUUUCUUUCACUCAAAAUCAUGUAUUUUGGACAAUACUUUUAAAAUGUUUAAAUGACUUUUCAAAGUCUUUUAAACACAUGACAUAUGUUUUUAGAUUAUAAGGUUUGAUAUGAAGACUAAAAACUGCUUGCCAACUGGUGUAUUUAUGAAACGUUCAGAUUUUUACCAACAUUAUUUGGAAGUUGCAUUGCCAGUAGAUGUCCAAGUUGCAUAUUUUAAAAGAAAGCAUGUAUGAACGUAUGAUAGUUUAAGAAAAAUUCACAGAAACAGUAAAAUGCAAACAGAUUAUGGAAUAUCACAGGGGCAGUUUCUGGUUGAUAGUGUCUAAGAGAAAAUCUGUUCCUGACACACAGGGUUUCUUGUAGUAACAUGUAACCAAGAUUUAUUUUGAUAUCCCCCUCCAUCAGGAUUGAGUAGCACUGGUUGCUGAUGUGCCUUAUUUUCAAAAAUGCCAAAUAUUUCAGGGAGAAGUAACAGAUGGACUUGAACUCUUACUAUAAUGCUUAGACAAAUGUGGAUAUAAAUUCUGCUUUGAGAACUUCUUAUUUGUGGGAUAAUCUUAUGUGAUAUUUAAUACUGUUAGUUUAAUCUUUCGGAAAAAUUCUCUCAUCUACGAAGGUUGAAAAUGAAUUCUAAACAUUUUAAAAUUACAUUUCUAUGCUUCCUUCUAUUUUUCCUUCACUUUUUAUUUCAGCUACUCUGACUAAUGGGGAUAAUUGAAUUUUUAAUAUGUUUGAAAACUCAUUCUGCCUAAAAUCUUUAUUCUAUAAAACCUCCUUAUGGUCUAAUAUGAAUUUUAAAAUGUAAAAUUCAGACAAACAGUAACUAACUCUCAGUAUAGCUUACAAGUACUAAAUAAUACAACUUCACAUGUACCCCAUAAAUUUGCACAAAUAAAAAAAAUGAAAAACCAGUGAACCAUUUCAAUUAAUAGCUUUUAUAAUUAUUUCAUGAUUUAUUCAUUGAAUUAAUAAUUAUAGAUUAAACAGCUCUGAACGUUGUGGAUGUCUUUUUAAUAACAAUACUGAAAUGGACAACAUACUGUUUAUAUGAAGACUUAGCUUGCAUUUACUCAAUAUUUGCAUAAAAAUUUCAUUAGCACAUACAUAUGACAGAUUCUGAAA